GCGGCGCCCCCUGGAGGAGGCCCGGCUGUUCAGCUCGCUUCUCUGCGCUGAGAACCAAGGCAUGUUUGAGCCUCGUAGUGCGUGGUGGUUAAUGAUAAAGCCGUGGCAUUUCGUUGAAUUUUCACAACCAUUUGUUGUAGCACAUAAGAACUAGUUUUGGAGAGAUGAUGAUUCACCCGAGUUCACAUAGCCCGCAGAUGAGGGGGUUGGGUUAAAGGCCAGAUCUGUUAUCCAAAUCUCUUCUUGAUGCUAAAAGGCCACUCUACCUGGAAAGUACUUUGGGUUCCUUCACAGCCACCAAGUGGCAAGAUGCCUUCCUGGCUCUCAGGAGCCCUGGGGUCAGAGUCCAUAAUCGAGACUGUGGGCCCCUCCCAGCUCUCCCAGCUUGUGUGUCCAGCAGUUCUGAUUGGAGCCUAUAGAAGGUCUAGUCCUGAGAGCAGCCUUCGGGAGAGUCAGAUUGGGGGUCUUGUGUGAAGACUCCAGUUAAAUGAUUUUGUUCCGUAGGCCCCAGUUCCAUUUCUUUAGGAACAAAGCAAUUCUAGAAAGAUAAAAGGGAAGGAACGGCACAAAUCAGAAACCCACCUGGAAGAAAACACCCCUGUGACCUUCUUCAGACCUUUCACCAGAGUUUUGAACAGAAGUGGAAGUAACCCCCCAAAGAAACAGACUCCAGAUUUCCAAGGCCAGAAGCAAUUUUUGAACUCCCCGCCCUAAAUGAGCAUGCUUUCAGAUGUCACAUCUGAAACUUCGACAUCUCUGUGACAGUGGAAGAUCAAGACCAGGUUUCAGCAAGAGGCGCGUGCUGCCUUAAGUGGUGUAGCUGAAAAUAAUGGUUUGAGAGCCACAGUUAUGAGGACAAAGGCAGGAAAAAGCCCUGAAAGCCACCAUCGGUCCAUGUGGACAAUGACUGGUAACAAGCAGUCUGUGGACUGGCACCAGCCUUCGGGCCACACCCUGAAAAACAGAAUGACCGAAUAUGACUGAGAACCAAGGGAAGCCAAAGAAGCAGCUCAACUUGGGCCAGGGAAGUACCUGAUAACCUUCAAACUCUGACACCUCAGGCCUGAGGGGCACUACCCACACGCUUCUCAGGAAACUGAAGAAAACCAGGCUGCUUGCAGGAGUGACCGGACUACCCUACUUAUCACCAGCGGAGAAGAGCUCAUCUCCCUGGAUCCAACAAUUUACUUAGAGGUAGGAAAUAGUAAUGCUGAAGUCAGGAGAUGGACAAGAGCUGUCAUCGCACUGGAUUACCUGUAGUCAACCAAAUGUCAUGCUAUAAUCUAGAAUAGCCCUUUACAGGCUGCUUCUGCCUUGAGUUGUAUUUCUCCCAUCCAUUUUGCAACUCCUAGUUUCAGGACAAUCAACAACUACCUUUCUCAAUCAUGAUCUCUUCCAAGAUCUCAUAGUAUUUUUCACAUCUCUCUACCAAAGAUAUAAAAUCUGUCUUCCAAAUUGGCUACAAGAUUCUCAAGGAUAAUGGCCAUGUUCUGCUAAUCUUGAAAUCCCCAGCAACUAGCUCAACUGACUAGGAAUCUAAAUGAUAUUUAUAAAUUCAUAUUCAACUUAAAUGAAUAAUGAAAAGAUACAAGUAAAACUGAACUUCAAGAUCAUCAAGGAAACUCAUAAUUUUACAGAUGAGAAAACCAAGGUUCAUGACAGUGAAGUGACCCACUCAAGGUCACAAAAGGAGGGGUUAAAUUGGGACUUGUCCCUUUCAGCAGAGUCAAGGACAAUGUCUGGUACAUAAGAAAACACUCAAUAAGUAUUGGCGGAAUGAAGUCCUUUUUUAAAAUUCAA